UACGUAGGGGGCAAGCGUUGUCCGGAAUCAUUGGGCGUAAAGAGCGUGUAGGCGGCUCGGUAAGUCCGCUGUGAAAGUCCAGGGCUCAACCCUGGAAUGCCGGUGGAAACUGUCGGGCUAGAGUCCGGAAGAGGUGAGUGGAAUUCCUGGUGUAGCGGUGAAAUGCGCAGAUAUCAGGAGGAACGCCAAUGGCGAAGGCAGCUCACUGGGACGGUACUGACGCUGAGACGCGAAAGCGUGGGGAGCAAACAGG
rnacentral:rRNA from 1 species